AUGCUCACUUCAGCACAUAUACUAAAAUUGGAACAAUACAGAGAAGAUUAGCUUGGUCCUUGCACGGGGAUGACACAAAAAUUCAUGAACAUUCAAAAAAAAAGUUAU